UUAUUGUGAGGGCGAGUUGUAAAACACCAUAGGGCUGGCCGUCCCAUAUGAAAAGAAUUUAUUUGAAUUGAAUGAAACUUUGUUAAUAUAUUGAUAAUGACAGUAUAUAUAUCGUGUCUUGACUAAUUGCGUGCCAGCAGUCGCGGUAAUACGUAAGAGACUAGUGUUAUUCAUCUUAAUUAGGUUUAAAGGGUACCCAGACGGUCAAUAUAGCUUAUAAAAUGUUAGUACUUGACUAGAGUUUUAUGUAAGAGGGCAGUACUUGAGGAGGAGAGAUGAAAUUUCGUGAUACCAAAGGGACUCUGUAAAGGCGAAGGCAGCCCUCUAUGUAAAAACUGACGUUGAAGGACGAAGGCCCAGACAACAAACAGGAUUAGAUACCCAAGUAGUCUUUGCAGUAAAUGAUGAAUGCCAUAGGUUAGAUUAAUAGUUAAUGUAUAUAGGCUAGUAUAAUAGACUAUACAUUAAAAAUUAUUUGGUCUAUAAAUGAAAGUGUAAGCAUUUCACCUCAAGAGUAAUGUGGCAACGCA
rnacentral:rRNA from 1 species